ensembl:antisense Gm43732 predicted gene 43732
AACAGAUUUGAGAGCCCUGAGUAGAGUAGUCCAUCACAGCCUGGAGUUCCUUUACCUAAGGUAACCAAUGAAGACUGGCAAAUAGCUUGUAGCAACAGUAAAUAUCCUAAAAACAAGACUCUUCAGUUUAUAAAAAGAACUAAUUGGGUUCUCCCACAUAUUAUAAAAGGAAUACCAAUUCCUGAAGCACCUGCAUUUUAUACUGAUGCAACUUGGACAGCAUACAGUCAGCAGUUUGAAGCAAGGCCAGUUUCUUGCCUGGUGGCAGCUUGCCACAUUUGAAGCAAACUCCACAAGGAUGUUCUUCAAUGUUCAUUAUCUUCUUUGAAAUUGUAUGGGGGUGCUGCCAGAAUGUGACAUGUCUCAUUGUUAAAAAAAGUCUUAAGCUAAUAAAACAUCUUUAAAUGCCAUCUAUCUCAGUGUAUUUGAAUAGGGAAACGUUGCUUGUCUCUAGUUUACUCUCUGAUUAACUUUGAAAACAUCCAUGAUUAACUAAACUAAUACCUAACAAAACU